rnacentral:tRNA from 1 species
GCGGGUGUGGCGGAAUUGGUAGACGCACCAGAUUUAGGUUCUGGCGCCGCGAGGCGUGUAGGUUCAAGUCCUAUCACCCGUACCA